UCACUCAUUACACAUGACUGCUUAAUUAAAAUCUUGGGCUUUAUUUUUCAUGAAUUCAACAUUCGAAAUUUGGAAGAUUAUUGGGUUGCUUCUUAAUGUGACCUAGUGAAUUUGACUCAUUUCUUUCAUGGUUCUCCAAAGUUGACCCAAGCUUUCAUUCUUCAUUGAUUCAUUUUUGAACGUAAACUUGAAAGGCUCCUUUGAGUCUUUUGACCCACGAUCUA
rnacentral:lncRNA from 1 species